rnacentral:rRNA from 1 species
GUUUAAUUGAGUUUGGUGAUGGCUCUGAUUGAACGCUGUCCAAAUGCUUGACACAGGCUAAUCGAACGUUUAAUUUUAAAAAAGCGUAUUAUAUGUAAUAUGAUAAAAAAUAUUCACUUAAUUAAGCUUAUUAUUAAAAGUGGUGAACAGGUGAGUAAAAAAAAAGUAAUUACAACCUACCUUAAAGUUAGGACAAAAUCCCUAAUAAUAAAAAAAGGCUUUAACAUUUACAAUCAGUAAUAAGGCUGCUUUAAGAUGAAUCGUAAUAGAGUCGGGUUAGGCAGUAGUUAAGGUAAUGGCUUAACUAGCUUACAAUACACGUAGUCGAAGCUGAGAGGUUGAUCGACCACAUUGGGGAUGAAAAAAUCCCAAGGCAAGUAGGUACAGCAGUGAGGAAUAUUGGUCAAUGGCCUAACGGCUGAACUGGCAACUUGGAGGAAUGAGAGUAAGGUUUACUGAUUAAAUCGAACUUCGAAUAAAAUUCUGUAUGUAUAUGGUAUAAUGACAAUAUAUAUCUUAUGUCUUGACAAAUUUCGUGCCAGCAGUCGCGGUAAUACGAAAGAGACUAGUGUUAUUCAUCUUCAUUAGGUUUAAAGGGUACGUAGACGGUAAUAAUAUACAAUUGUAUAGAAUUAACAAUUGGCAAAUUAAAACUAGAGUUUUAUAUGAGAAGAUCGUACUAUUGGUGGAGAGAUGAAAUUCUGUGAUACCUCUGGGACUGGUUAAGGCGAAGGCAAUUUUCUAUGUAAAAACUGACGUUCAGGGACGAAGGCUCAGGACACCAAAAGGAUUAGGUACCCAAGUAAUCUUUGCAGAGAAUUAUGAAUGUCAUAGGUUAGGUUUUUAUUUGGCCUAUAAAUUAAAGUGUAAGCAUUCCACCUCAAGAGUAAGUUGGCAACAUCGGAACUGAAAUCACUAGACCGUUUCUGACACCAGUAGUGAAGUAUGUUGUUUAAUUCGGUGAUCCACGAAAAACCUUACCACAAUUUGUAUAUAUUUAUAUACUAAGAAUAAUCCUUUUAAUUAUUCUUAAAUAUAUAUUUAGCUAUUAAUAAUAGACAGGUGUUGCACGGCUGUUUUCAGUUAAUGUUGUGAAAUUAUGGUUAAGUCCAUGUAAUUAACGUAAGCCCUUGCUUUAUUUGUAAAAUUUUUUUGAUAAAGCUGAUUCGCCACUAUAGCGGUUGAUGAUAAUAGGGACUAAGACAAGUCAUCAUGGCUUUUACAUUGUGGGCUAUAGACGUGCCACAUACUCCUAUAACAAAGAGAUGCAAAAAUGCGAAUUUAAGCUAAUCUCAUAAAAAAGGAUAAAAAAAAAAAUAUGGAUUGUAGCCUGAAACUCGGCUGCAUGAAUAAGUAAUUACUAGUAAUCGUGAAUCACCAUGUCACGGUGAAUAAUCCUCGGAUUGGUACUAACCACUCGUCGCAUGCUGAAAGGAGUGGGUGCAAUAAUUUUGCUUUACUGUUUUAAAAUAACUAAAGUUAAUAGAUUUAGAAAAAGUUUAACGGUAUUCUUCGUAUGCGCUACUCUGAUUAGUGUUAAGUCGAAAUACGGUUCGUGUAGUGGAAGUUGCACGGGAUUGAUAAAAUUU